GUGAGGAAUUUUCCGCAAUGGGCGAAAGCCUGACGGAGCAAUGCCGCGUGAAGGAUGAAGGCCUAUGGGUUGUAAACUUCUUUUCUUAGAGAAGAAUAUUGACGGUAUCUGAGGAAUAAGCAUCGGCUAACUCUGUGCCAGCAGCCGCGGUAAGACAGAGGAUGCAAGCGUUAUCCGGAAUCACUGGGCGUAAAGCGUGCGUAGGCGGUUUUGUAAGUUAGGAGUGAAAGCCCAGGGCUCAACCUUGGAAUUGCUCUUAAAACUGCAAGGCUCGAAUCUCGGAGAGGAUAGCGGAAUUUCCAGUGUAGCAGUGAAAUGCGUAGAUAUUGGAAGGAACACCAGUGGCGUAAGCGGCUAUCUGGACGAGUAUUGACGCUGAGGCACGAAAGCGUGGGGAUCAAACAGGAUUAGAUACCCGUGUAGUCC
rnacentral:rRNA from 1 species